ACAAACAGACACUUCCUUCAACAAGAUGGUGAUAAAUCAAUUAUUCUACAGGAACAGCGGCCACUGGAGCAUAGAUUUAAGAGUAUUAUGCAGUUUUCUCUAGUGACUUAUCCAGCUUGCUGUCUGCGAACUUGUUUGAACCUCUUUGGGGAAAUAGCAGAAUCAGAAGUUAAUGUCCUGAAAAGAAGCUACCAUCAGAACAUUACUCAUUAACUGAGAAAACCUGAAAAUAACCAGAAAGAUCUGGCUGCAGUCGUUGAUGCCAGACCAAUAUGGAGCCGCUGUCUCUUUCCUCCAGAGGUCACCAGCCAGGCCAUCCACGACGCACUUGGAAAACCAGGGAAAUAAACUCUGAUGGACCACCUAGUCUGUGUUAUGCUGUUCAAGCUCAGAAGGGUGCAAAGUUCCAACGGGUUCCCAGCACCACAGGAUUCCCCCAACACUAACCUCAGUCAGAUGUUUACGGCCAAGGUACAAUCCACCUCGGAUCCAAACAGCUCUGGCUGGACUAGACGCCUCUCUCUCCCUCCUCUCUCUCUUUCUUCUCUCCGCUUUUGCUCUUUCUCUCUCUCUCAACCAGCAAAUGGAAAUGGAGAUUUAAGGAGUGGGGGCAGAGACGGGAGUCAGACGAAUUUCACGGUGUCCUGGGCAAGGAGAAAGACAAACCCCUUUGCCCCUAAUAAUUAAAAGGAGGAGCCGCUUUCUGGCUGGAGCAGCAGGUGUGCAAGGGACUGAGAUCACUCAUCCUGGAGUAAGCCAGCUGCCAUGUCAUGCGGAUACUCAAGCAGCCCUAAGGAGAGACCCACGUGGCAAGGAACUGAGGCCUCCUCCCUGCAGCCACUUGAGUGGUGCUACUCACAUCGUACUCUGCCUGAAUGAUGCUCCUGGGAGUUGUGCAAGCCAGCGGCUUCUAUCACUGCCAUUCUACAGAUAGGGAACCAAGGCACACUGAGGGUCUUAGAAUCGCAGUGCUAAGAAGUGCCUCCCAAGCCUCAGGCUGGUUUGCAAGCUUCCAAAGGACAAGGUGUCCAUCUUCUGUGCGGGCCAUUGCCUUAUAUGCUAGAGCCUGUCCUCCACAGCCGCCAUCAUCCAGUUCCCCUUGAUGGUUGACUUCCUCUUGGAUUUGGCCAGUGGGAGGCACCAGCAGGAGAUCUGAGGCCGGGAAGAGAGAAAGACAGAGCGAUUUCCUCCAUGCUCUCUCCCCACUUUGUUGCGGUGUCUGGAACACAACUGGUCGAGCUCUCACUGGGCUCCACUAACUACGUUUCCUUCUUAGGCUGUGGCUAGUCUGCACGUCCCUUUUUGAAUCCCCUUAACCCUACCCACACCUCUGUGAGCGGCCCCUUUAUUAACGUCUCUGAAUUUGAGUCUUCUGAAGGUAAAUUUUGUUUCCUGACUCCGAAAAAUGGGAAACUUACUAGUUACUGGGUAUCUUUUUCUAUCCUUUAAAUAUUUUGCCACGUGCCUAUAAUAUCUGUUCAAAAAAUACAAAUAUUAAAAGAAUAAA